GAUGAACGCUGGCGGCGUGCCUAAUACAUGCAAGUCGAGCGAACGGACGAGAAGCUUGCUUCUCUGAUGUUAGCGGCGGACGGGUGAGUAACACGUGGAUAACCUACCUAUAAGACUGGGAUAACUUCGGGAAACCGGAGCUAAGACAGGAUAAUAUUUUGAACCGCAUGGUUCAAAAGUGAAAGACGGACUUGCUGUCACUUAUAGAUGGAUCCGCGCUGCAUUAGCUAGUUGGUAAGGUAACGGCUUACCAAGGCAACGAUGCAUAGCCGACCUGAGAGGGUGAUUGGCCACACGGGAACUGAGGCACGGCCCACACACUUACACGAGGCAGCAGUAGAGACUCUUCCGCAAUGGGCGAAUGCCUAACGGAGCAACGUCGCGUGAGUGAUGAAGGUCUUCGGAUCGUAAAACUCUGUUAUUAUGGAAGAACAUAUGUUUAAGUAACUGUGCACAUCUUGACGGUACCUAAUCAGAAAGCCACGGCUAACUACGUG
rnacentral:rRNA from 1 species